ensembl:snRNA U6 U6 spliceosomal RNA
AGUGAAACUUCAUCUAAAUAUAUAUAUAAAUUGGAACAGUACGGAGAUGAUUAGCGUGACCACUGCGCAAGAGUGACACACAAAUUUGUGAAGCAUUCCAUAUCUGU